GCUUUCCUAUCUAACUUCUCUCUCAUUUUCCUUGACUUUCUUGGUGGCCAAACACCACAUCCUUGCUCCACCCUUACACCACCACCUUAACCCACCAUCUCCACCACCGCCGGCCACUUUAUAUCGCCGGAAAAAGGGUCCGGUCGGCCACUCCUUGAAUCCAUCCGAAAAUAGCACAAUAGAAGUACCAACUCUAGAUUUUUCUUAAUCUUUUGAAGAAUCAAAGCAUGGGGUUUAUUUUCUUGAUGGAUUAGAGGCUUGUAAUUGGAUUGGAGGAAGGCGUCUCUACACCUCUUGGGAAUUCAUUUGUAGAGUCUCAAUCUACACUUUUGCUAUUUUGGAGGUUAAGGAAGCUGUUACAGAGGGAUGUGAGAUCCUAAAUUGUGGGUUGAGUGGUGUGAGCUCAAUUAUUGUUUGCUUAAGCCUAAUGCUGCUAUGAAAUUUGUACUACUUCUUUUUGGGUAAUACUUAUUCCAUUCUUGAAUAGGCCUCUAGGUUUUUUCAGCUUGGUGACUUUUAUCAUAUUGCAGUUGUGCCUUGCUGGCAUAAUGGUGGCAAUUUGGCUGUUUAUUCUGGUGGUUUUGUGGAUUGGUUAUGGCUGCAUUGUGCACCUAUCCAAAGAUAAGGGGUAUUGGUGGUGUCAGCUUCAUGCACCCUACUACCCUUUCAGUUUUCAUUUUAUUCAUAGUUGUUAUAUGUAUAAACCUUUUGAGACUGGUCUGAUUUAUGUCCUUACAGGUUUUGUGGCCUACUCCUACGGGCAGUGUAGGAGAUAUAUCGUGUUUUGGCGUAUGGCUAGCAGUUUGGGCGUACUGUAUGUGUUUCAAUCAUGCUGAAAUCAUGGUCCCAGUGCUGCUGAGUUGAUGUUUCAUGUCUUGGGACCAAUGUUGCCUACUGUGUACAUGGUAUUGACAAGUGGUUGUUCUUGUGUUCAGGUUCUCUAUAACACAAAUACCAUCCUCAUCAUCAUCAAACUAAACAUGAAUUUUCAAAACAAUUAUAUUUCCAGAUAUGUUAUUUCUUGUCGUUACUUUUACCACAGUACUAAAUCUAGGGAUGCGGAAGUUAAACCAAAUGAGCCUAUGCCAAGUUACUCUAGACCUAUGAACUCUAAAUAGGUCCCAAGCAGAAUGUAAAGAGAAGAGACCAUUAGAUGAGAAAUAAUAAAGAAAUCAAACAAUGCUACAACUUCAAAGAUAAGAGUUUGACAAUAAUUACUGCCAAACGUUGGAUCAUCGGCUCCUUUUCAGCAUUGUUCACCUUUUUCCACCUACGAACACUCAGGUCUGGUAAUUGUAUUCGAACCUCUAUACCCAUCUUGGAGGCCAACUUAGAGGCUUGCUCUCCUAUUGGCGCACAAAACUGUUUAGGUAUAGGAACCAACAUCUUUCCACCCUUAUCAACAAUGUGUUGGGCCCGUAUGCCGCGUAUCGGGCCACGACCGCGUGUUUGUGAUGUUGCAAGGACAUAAUAUUAAUUGAGUUAGUAAGUAAACAAAUGGAAGUUAGACCUUAAAAGCAACUUUGCAAACUUACCAAUGCUGCUAGAUGCAGUCACCUCAUGCUCAGGUUGCACAUUACGAGGUAGUAAGGGUUGGUUACCAAUGUCCUGACAUAAAGGAUCCGUCCCUUCCUUUGGAGUGGCAUUUAAUGGCCUUGAAUGAGACUGUAAACGGAGUCCAGGUGGCAUAUCUUGAUCCUGAAACAACAUAAUCAAAUAGUAAAAAAGAUAUUUAACACAGUUAAAAUAUAUUUUAAAAACGAUAAUGAUGUUUAAGAUAUGUGAAGAAGAUAUGUAAAUAGUAAAAGACAUGUUCACACACAAAUAUAAAAUAAUGUAUAUAAUACCUCGUGUAGACACCCCAAUUUUGACCCUUCGUAAAACUUAGGCGCUAUAUUCCGAACACCCGAUGAUAAAAGUUACACUGUGCAAUCUUUUGAAUUCUGAGCGAAGAAAUUUGGAUUCAAGCUCUAAUUUAUUUUGUGUAUUACAGUCACAACAAAAUUUUGUUUUUGUUGUUUUGUUUUGUUUUGUUUAAAUAAAAAAAGGGAAAAGAAAAAAAACAAAAAAAAGAUACAUAAAGAAAAAAAUAAAAUAAAAUAAAAUAUAAAUUUCGUAAAUUGGUUUUGUGUCCAUUUUAUUCGCCAGUGUGUUUUGCCUAAUUUCAGUUCAUUGAGUUUUCUUUUACGUUUUCAGUAAUAGGCUCAAAUUGUCCGAUUUGAAAUACAACCAUUUCUAACAUCUAAAUAUUCAAACCAUUCUGAUUUGCCAUUCGGAUUGACAAACAAACUCAUUUUAUUAAUUUCGGGGAUUAACCCUGAUCAUAUUUGUACAAAAUAUAUACAAAAGAAAAAA